rnacentral:rRNA from 1 species
UACGGGGGGGGCAAGCGUUGUUCGGAAUUACUGGGCGUAAAGGGUUUGUAGGUGGCCCGCUAAGUCAGACGUGAAAUCCCUCAGCUUAACUGGGGAACUGCGUCUGAGACUGGUGAGCUUGAGUGCAGGAGAGGAACGCGGAAUUCCAGGUGUAGCGGUGAAAUGCGUAGAUAUCUGGAGGAACACCGGUGGCGAAGGCGGCGUUCUGGACUGCUACUGACACUGAGGAACGAAAGCCAGGGGAGCAAACGGG